rnacentral:tRNA from 2 species
GUCUCACUGGUGUAAUGGCCAGCAUAGCGGUCUCCAAAACCGCUGAUCGAGGUUCGAUUCCUUGGUGAGGCG